UACGGGGGGGGCAAGCGUUGUUCGGAAUUACUGGGCGUAAAGGGCUCGUAGGUGGCCAACUAAGUCAGACGUGAAAUCCCUCGGCUUAACCGGGGAGCUGCGUCUGAUACUGGAUGGCUAGAGUUUGGGAGAGGGAUGCGGAAUUCCAGGUGUAGCGGUGAAAUGCGUAGAUAUCUGGAGGAACACCGGUGGCGAAGGCGGCAUCCUGGACCAACACUGACGCUGAGGAGCGAAAGCCAGGGGAGCAAACGGG
rnacentral:rRNA from 1 species